UACGGAGGGUGCAAGCGUUAUCCGGAUUCACUGGGUUUAAAGGGUGCGUAGGCUGAUAUGUAAGUCCGUGGUGAAAUCUCUGGGCUUAACCCGGAAACUGCCAUGGAUACUAUGUGUCUUGAAUGUUGUUGAGGUGAGCGGAAUAUGUCAUGUAGCGGUGAAAUGCUUAGAUAUGACAUAGAACACCAAUUGCGAAGGCAGCUCACUAAGCAAAUAUUGACGCUGAGGCACGAAAGCGUGGGGAUCAAACAGG
rnacentral:rRNA from 1 species